rnacentral:rRNA from 1 species
GACGAACGCUGGCGGCGUGCUUAACACAUGCAAGUCGAACGGAAAGGCCCUGCUUUUGUGGGGUGCUCGAGUGGCGAACGGGUGAGUAACACGUGAGUAACCUGCCCUUGACUUUGGGAUAACUUCAGGAAACUGGGGCUAAUACCGGAUAGGAUCUCCUGCUGCAUGGUGGGGGUUGGAAAGUUUCGGCGGUUGGGGAUGGACUCGCGGCUUAUCAGCUUGUUGGUGGGGUAGUGGCUUACCAAGGCUUUGACGGGUAGCCGGCCUGAGAGGGUUACCGGCGACAUUGGGACUGAGAUACGGACCAGAAUGCAACGGGAGGCAGCAGUGGGGAAUAUUGCAAAAUGGGAGGAAGCCUGAUGCAGAAACGCCGCGUGCGGGAUGACGGCCUUCGGGUUGUAAACCGAUUUCGAAUGUGACGAAGCGUGAGUGACGGUAAUGGGUAAAGAAGCACCGGCUAACUACGUG